CUACGGCGCCUGCAAGUUCCUGAGAGCCGGGAAGAACUGUAGGAAUAGUCACAGCUUGACAACCGAACACAACCUGAGUGUGCUGAGAACUCAUGGCGUUGACCACCUGAGCUAUAAUGAGCUAUGCCAACUCUUGUUUCAGAACGACCCCUGGCUUUUGCCAGAAAAAUUUGGAAUGUGGAGCAGAAGGAGCAGUGAAGUUCAAGGGCCAGCUUUGCCAACAACCCAGUUCCACAAACAUCACACAGAUGCCAUGGAUAGCUGUGCGACUAGGGCUGAUUCUUUAACUUCUCUGAGCCUCUCAGUGUGCUCCAUUGAGAAAUGAAAGGGUGGUAUUUGGCCUUCUCUAAGAUGCUUUAAGCCCUCAGAGCCUCUUUGACUUUGAAUUGUAGAAAAGAGAGCUCAGAGAAAACUGGGGCUUGGGGAAGGGAGAGUUGAUGAGUCAGUGUGGGAAGAGUAUAGGUAGAUUGUAGAGGUCCUUAGGAUGUAGCCAUUUGAUUUGCAUUGUCUCAUGUGAAAGGAGCAGCUCUAGU
rnacentral:lncRNA from 1 species